GUAAUAACUGUCACUGAACUCGGUGGUGAACUCCUGGACCUCCUACCCGAUGGCAGCAGUGAGAAGAGAGUCUAGCCUGGAUACUGGAAGUCUGUGAUAAUGGAUACUGCUUCCCUGUAGCAGGGCUAAUUGCUGUUGUACUCACUGGCUUCAACAAGGAUAAAGGCAUUAAAGCCAUGCUCAGGGGAGUCAUCUGCAGAAAAUCCACUCUUGAUCAUGGGUGAAGUUCCACUUUUUCAAGCUUCAAGACGACCAUCAAACCAUGUGGUAUGACUCCCCGAAGAUCUUCAACAAGGCAGGAAAAGUCAGGCUGCUCUCUGUGGAAAGAAAAAAGGCUUGACCUUUUGAGCUGAGACCCUUCAUCUGGACUCGUUCUAUGUCUUGAAGAACAUCAACGGUCUGAAACGUUGACUCUAUAUUCCUCUCCAUAGAUACUGCCUCGCCUGCUCAGUCUCUUCCGUAUUUUAUGUGUGUUAAUCUGGAUGUCCAACCUCUGCAGAAUACCUUGUAUUUAUGAAUCUGCAUUUGAAUAUCUUGUUCUGAUCUUUGGUGCUGUUCUACCCCACCCCACUGAACCCAUUGCGUCUCAAUCAACAAAAUCCAGGAGGUGAGGUCAGCUGACAGGUCAAAGAGGGUCAGGGAUAGCUCCUUCUCAAGAGUAGUUAAGGACAGCGAGAAGGACCUGGACCUGCUGGCCAGCUGCACAAUGGACACUCGGCACUGGAUCAAUGGCCUGACCAAACUCCAGGACCGAAACUCCAACAUGAAAUGGAGACAACAGCUGGACCAAUUGCUCCAAAGGGCCAGUAUUGAUCAGGACAUCAAAAUGAGCUUGGAAGGAAUGAAGCAGAUGAACAUCGAGGUCCACCUCCUAUUUGCAAAUGGUGACUCCCUGCCCUCUGCCUUGCUCUUCAUACACAUCAUGAUCGAGUGAACCCUCGCUGCCAUCAUGUCCUUUCCAGGGACCUUCGUCUCACCAAGAGCUGGAACAGAGAGCUCCCUUGACCAGAUGGAGAUGGACAGAGGGACAGCAGGAAAUGGG